AGACAAACUGAAACGUUGUGAAAACGUUAAAUUCACGACUCAUAAUCGAUUGGUCGCCCGUUCAAGUCGGGCAGGGGCCACCA
rnacentral:tRNA from 1 species